AGCUCCAAUAGCGUAUAUUAAAGUUGUUGCAGUUAAAAAGCUCGUAGUUGGAUUUCUGUUUCGAAUGUCCGGUCCGUCUGAUCUCAGACUGUGUACUAGUGAUGUUGGAUUCAUUUUUUGUGAGACUGCUGCGCUGGCAUUAAGUUGUUGGUGUAGUGGGCUUGCAUCGUUUACUGUGAAAAAAUUAGAGUGUUUAAAGCAGGCGUUCGCUUUUGAAUACAUUAGCAUGGAAUAAUAAGAUAUGACUUGUGUGGUCUAUUUUGUUGGUUUGCACACGCGAGUAAUGAUUAAUAGGGACAGUUGGGGGUAUUCAUAUUUCAGCGUCAGAGGUGAAAUUCUUGGAUCGCUGAAAGAUGAGCUUAGGCGAAAGCAUUUAUCAUGGAUGUUUUCAUUA
rnacentral:rRNA from 1 species